UCUAGAACUCGAGAUAUGGGCUGAACACUUAAUAGUGUCUGGGCUGCAGGACAGAUUAUGACUUCUCUAUUAUUGCUACAAUUUGAACUUGAAAACGGUCCUUUUGAAUCUUGGACUCUUCAUGAAAGUUUUAGGCCUAUGUUUUAGCUUUCUAUC
rfam:Populus trichocarpa scaffold_6_contig_298, whole genome shotgun sequence.